GUUCCACUAGCCCAGUUAACCGGGAUAAAAUUAACCCCGUUCGGGAAUUCGGUCGUCCCAAUCAUUUCAGUAUUGGUAGCGGGUUAAGUUAAUCCGGAUUAACCAAUGACUGGGUGGGAUCGACCGUGGUUGGCUUUGUAGAUACCAUUGGCGCCAUAGUCGGGAAAAUAUUUUCCAGUAACGUCAGAAUUUGGAUCUACAAAGUUUAAUUCGACACGGCCGGUAGCGUCAUUAUUCCAAAUAUUCCAUACAAUUUUACAUUAGCGUGGUACCGACGCAAAUGAAAAGGCGCCCACCAGUAAAGAAAACUCCGAAACAACUACACCCGUAUCUAGUCAGACGUCGGAAAUAAGUAACCAAAUUAUAGUAUUUCUUCACCUGUGGUAUCUGAACCGGUGAGCGCCGCCAUUUUGAAAGCUUGUUUUGGAAUCUGAAAUACACAAACAGUAGUUUUUUUUGGGGGGGAGGAAUCUUUAACACGACGGAAUUGCCGAUUAGCACUUUUAAUCAUCAGUCGGCGGGUAGGAAAAUCUUUAAUUUCAAUACUUUACUUACAUUUUGGAGAAAAUCUAGACGUUAAAGAAUUAUAUUACUUCCCAUCCCAUCGAAUGAUGAUUAAAACACGUAUCGACAAUACUGUUAAAGAUUUAUCAUCCCAAAAAAAUUACCAUAUCUCGGAUUUCAAGACAACUUUUAAAAAUGGCGCUCACCGGUUUAGGUACCAUGUUUGGAGAAAUGCUAUAAUUUCAUCGUUCAUUUUUUCGAUGCCUCCACCAGAUAGAAGUGCAGACCUUUUGAUUAUGACAGAGGGAUAUUCUCGUAUCUUCAUCUGAUAUAAUUUUAUCAAAACCCCAGUCAGGCUGUGAAGCUUUACGGCAAUUUUGUAUAAUUUCAUCAUAUGAUUAUGUAUAAAUUAUAUAUGCAGUUCAUUUAGUUAUUUCUUGGGAAAUGAUUUUGUUAUGUUGCGAAGUCUAGCAGCAUAUAUUAUGUAACUGAUUUAUUAUAAAAUAAAUUUCUG
rnacentral:lncRNA from 1 species